rnacentral:rRNA from 2 species
UACGUAGGGUGCAAGCGUUAAUCGGAAUUACUGGGCGUAAAGCGUGCGCAGGCGGUUUUGUAAGUCUGACGUGAAAUCCCCGAGCUUAACUUGGGAAUUGCGUUGGAGACUGCAAGGCUGGAGUCUGGCAGAGGGGGGUAGAAUUCCACGUGUAGCAGUGAAAUGCGUAGAGAUGUGGAGGAACACCGAUGGCGAAGGCAGCCCCCUGGGUCAAGACUGACGCUCAUGCACGAAAGCGUGGGGAGCAAACAGG